rnacentral:snRNA from 1 species
GGAUGUGAGGGCGAUCUGGCUGCGACAUCUGUCACCCCAUUGAUCGCCAGGGUUGAUUCGGCUGAUCUGGCUGGCUAGGCAGGUGUCCCCCUCCUCCCUCACCGAUCCAUGUGUGUCCCUCCCGAAGCUGCGUGCUCGGUCGAAGAGGACGACCUUCCCUCCCGAGGAGAGGACCGGUCUUCGGUCAAGGGUAUACGAGUAGCUGCGCUCCCCUGCUAGAACCUCCAAACAAGCCUUUAGGUACAGAGUACUCACAUUCACACAUAAACAGUCCCAUGGCCUGAAACACUAGUUCCAGCCCAGCUCACACAGACAGAUCAGCCUCUGGGUUUAGUUUGGCAGUAAU